GCCGUGAACGUCCAAUGGUUAGGAACUUACGUCGUGGCCGUAGUCACACAGGUUCGAAUCCUGGUCACGGCA
rnacentral:tRNA from 1 species